rnacentral:rRNA from 1 species
UGCCCGGUAGCUAAAUGCGGAAGAGAUAAGUGCUGAAAGCAUCUAAGCACGAAACUUGCCCCGAGAUGAGUUCUCCCUGAGACUAUAAGUCUCCUGAAGGAACGUUAAAGACGAUGACGUUGAUAGGCCGGGUGUGUAAGCGCAGCGAUGCGUUGAGCUAACCGGUACUAAUGAACCGUGAGGCUUAACCUUACAACGCCGAAG